AAAUAAAAGCAGAAGCACGCGCUUCUCGCCUUAGUUGAUAUAGUCACUGGGCUAGAUAGUUUUCGCCGAUUCUUUAGGUGGAUUAUGCGCGGGUUCUGAUAAAAAGAACUCGUUUUUUUAUUACCGA
rfam:Enterococcus thailandicus strain F0711D 46 Ent-16_S35_L001_001_4, whole genome shotgun sequence.